UACGAAGGGGGCUAGCGUUGCUCGGGAAUGACUGGGCGUAAAGGGCGCGUAGGCGGAUGGCACAGUCAGAUGUGAAAUUCCCGGGCUUAACCUGGGGGGCUGCAUUUGAUACGUGUUGUCUUGAGUUCGGAAGAGGGUCGUGGAAUUCCCAGUGUAGAGGUGAAAUUCGUAGAUAUUGGGAAGAACACCGGUGGCGAAGGCGGCGACCUGGUCCGACACUGACGCUGAGGCGCGAAAGCGUGGGGGAGCAAACAGG
rnacentral:rRNA from 1 species